rnacentral:rRNA from 1 species
GACGUAGGAUGCGAGCGUUGUCCGGAUUUAUUGGGCGUAAAGAGUUCGUAGGUGGUUUGUUAAGUCUGAUGUUAAAGAUUGGGGCUCAACCCUGAAACUGCAUUGGAUACUGGCAAACUUGAGUGUGGUAGAGGCUAGUGGAAUUCCCAGUGUAGCGGUGAAAUGCGUAGAUAUUGGGAAGAACACCGGUGGCGUAGGCGACUAGCUGGGCCAUAACUGACACUGAGGAACGAAAGCCAGGGUAGCGAACAGG